rnacentral:rRNA from 1 species
AAAAAAUAAAAUUAAAAUACUAAAAUAGUAUAUAAAUGAGUAUUUAUUGAAACUUAAAUAAUUUGGCGGUAUUUUAGUUCAUUUAGAGGAAUCUGUUUAAUAAUUGAUAUUCCACGAAUAAAUUUACUUAAUUUAUAAUUUUGUAUAUCGUUGUUAUAAAAAUAUUUUUUAAUAAAAUUAAUAUUUAAAAUUUAUUAAUAUAAAUUAAAUCAGAUCAAGAUGCAGAUUAUAAUUAAGAAUAUAAUGGAUUACAAUAAAUUUAUUUAAAUGAAUUUUAAUUUGUAAAAAUUAAUUGAAAGUGGAUUUAAAUGUAAUUUUAUUUAAUUUAAUAAAAUGAUUAAAAAUUAAAAUAUGU